GGUAGUCCACGCCGUAAACGAUGGGAACUAGUUGUGGGGACCAUUCCACGGUUUCCGUGACGCAGCUAACGCAUUAAGUUCCCCGCCUGGGGAGUACGGCCGCAAGGCUAAAACUCAAAGGAAUUGACGGGGACCCGCACAAGCGGCGGAGCAUGCGGAUUAAUUCGAUGCAACGCGAAGAACCUUACCAAGGCUUGACAUAUACGAGAACGGGCCAGAAAUGGUCAACUCUUUGGACACUCGUAAACAGGUGGUGCAUGGUUGUCGUCAGCUCGUGUCGUGAGAUGUUGGGUUAAGUCCCGCAACGAGCGCAACCCUUUCUAUGUUGCCAGCACGUAAUGGUGGGAACUCAUGGGAUACUGCCGGGGUCAACUCGGAGGAAGGUGGGGAUGACGUCAAAUCAUCAUGCCCCUUAUGUCUUGGGCUUCACGCAUGCUACAAUGGCCGGUACAAAGGGCUGCAAUACCGUGAGGUGGAGCGAAUCCCAAAAAGCCGGUCCCAGUUCGGAUUGAGGUCUGCAACUCGACCUCAUGAAGUCGGAGUCGCUAGUAAUCGCAGAUCAGCAACGCUGCGGUGAAUACGUUCCCGGGUCUUGUACACACCGCCCGUCAAGUCAUGAAAGUCGGUAACACCUGGAGCCGGUGGCCCAACCCUUGUGGAGGGAGCCGUCGAAGGUGGGAUCGGUAAUUAGGACUAAGUCGUAACAAGGUAACC
rnacentral:rRNA from 1 species